AAUAUGGUAAGUUUUUUCUAGGGGUGGCACGAUACCAUUUUUUCAGAACCGAUCCCGAUGCGAUACCAAAAGUUCUGAGUAUCAGACAAUAACGAUACCAGCACAGUUUUUGUUUUGUUUUUUUCUAUACCUCAGUGUGUG